rnacentral:rRNA from 1 species
CCUACGGGUGGCAGCAGUGGGGAAUAUUGCACAAUGGGGGAAACCCUGAUGCAGCGACGCCGCGUGAGCGAAGAAGUAUUUCGGUAUGUAAAGCUCUAUCAGCAGGGAAGAAAAUGACGGUACCUGAGUAAAAGCCCCGGCGAAAUACGGUCCAGGAGCCGGGGUAAUUCGUAGGGGGCAAGCGUUAUCCGGGUUUACUGGGCGUAAAGGGAGCGUAGGCGGCCUGGCAAGUCUGAUGUGAAAUACCGGGGCUCAACCCCGGGGCUGCAUUGGAAACUGGUAGGCUGGAGUGCCGGAGAGGCAGGCGGAAUUCCUAGUGUAGCGGUGAAAUGCGUAGAUAUUAGGAGGAACACCAGUGGCGAAGGCGGCCUGCUGGACGGUGACUGACGCUGAGGCUCGAAAGCGUGGGGAGCAAACAGGAUUAGAUACCCGGGUAGUC